rnacentral:misc_RNA from 1 species
GAUGAAGAACGCAGCGAAAUGCGAUAAGUAAUGUGAAUUGCAGAAUUCAGUGAAUCAUCGAAUCUUUGAACGCACAUUGCGCCCGUCAGUAUUCUGGCGGGCAUGCCUGUUCGAGCGUCAUUACGCCCCUCAAGUCCCCUGUGGACUUGGUGUUGGGGAUCGGCGAGGCUGGUUUUCCAGCACAGCCGUCCCUUAAAUUAAUUGGCGGUCUCGCCGUGGCCCUCCUCUGCGCAGUAGUAAAACACUCGCAGCAGGAGCCCGGCGCGGUCCACUGCCGUAAAACCCCCCAACUUUUUAUAGUUGACCUCGAAUCAGGUAGGACUACCCGCUGAACUUAAGCAUAUCAAUAAGCGGAGGA